rnacentral:tRNA from 1 species
GGGGGGAUGCCGGAGUGGCCAAACGGGGUGGGCUGUAAACCCAUUGGCCGAAAGGCCUUCCCAGGUUCGAAUCCUGGUCCCCCCA